AGUGGUGUGGCAUGGAGAUGAAGGUGCCUGCCUCUCAUUCAUCCCUGCAGCUGGGAUCUGAAAAGAUUGUCCAUUAGUUCCAAGAUCCAGAUUCCUGACCUUCUCAAGCCUUGACCUUUUCCUUUCAUCCUGUGGACUGCUCCAAGGGUCUCUUGCUUAUACCAGACUUGAUAUCUGUUGCUUACAACCAAACCUUAAUGGCUGCAGGUAUGGGUUGACAGAAGGAGUAUAACGGUUCUGUGGGACUUUUUGUCAGAGACAACACAACCACACUAGUUUGGAAAGAGUAGCCUCUGGUGGAUUGGACAGCAGAGAGAGCAGGAAGGAUGGGACAUCUUGGCCAUGGUCCAAACAAGACACAGUAGCAGUUGGAGCCAGGUAAGGGCUGUGAUGAUGGUGGGUGGAUGGGAUGGGUUGCAGGGGGUUUCCUCCCUUGAGCUGGACAUGUGAUUUUUACAAAUGGAAACAUGUCAAGAGCACCCGGAAGGCUUCAUCAGAAUGAAGGCCAUACUUUGAACACUCAUUCUGAAGUUUUGGUUUGGUGAGUGUGAUCGUUAGUUUUGUGUGUCUAUUUGGCUGGGCUAUUGUGCCCAGUUAUUUGACCAAACACUAAUAUAGAUGUGUCUGUGAAGGUAUUUUUUGUAGAUGUGGGUAACCUCUCCUGUUGGUUGACUUUGAUGGUUAAUCUCGGUAAUGUGGGUGGGCUUUAUUUAAUCCGUUGAAAGGCCUUCAGAAUAAGAACCGAUUUUCUGGCAAAGGAGAAAUUCAGCCUCACAACUGCAAUAUCCACUCCUCCUAAGUGUCCAGCCUGCCAUCCUGCCCUGUGGACUCCAGACUUGCCAGUCUCAACAAUUGUGUGAGCCAACUCCUAAAAUUAAAGAUAUAUCCAUAUCUAUAGCUCUAUGUCUCUAUAUCUGUCUCUUUCUAUCUAGCAUGUAUCUAAUAUGUUUCUUAAUUAUAGGAGAAACUUAGACUCCAUUGGUUCUGUUUCUCUGGAGAACCCUGACUGACAUAUGGGUGAUUCAUUUAGGGUUCUUAGUGCAAACAGCAUGACUUUCUCUAUUCCUUUUAGGUAGGAAGGAAUUUAUUAAGGUCAUUGCAUAGCUCAUGGAAUCUUUAGGAGAAUCCAGAGAAUUAGGCUUGGAGGCUUUGUGCCUAGGAACAGUGGCCACUGAUCCUGUGAGGAUGCCUCUGAUGUUACCCCAAGAGGUAGGCACCUCUGAUUAUAUCUUUGCUGCCAAAACCUCCUCCUGCUGCCCACAAAGCUGGCAGCUAUUAUCGCUGCCCUUGCCAGAAGGUGGAUUCUGCAUGGUGCCUGCUUCUCAAUUUGUUCUAUUUAAAGUCAUGUGUAUUUUGUAUUUGAUGGGCAGAGCCUGGAUCAUGUGUUUAUACUCCAGCUCCAAGAGAGGGUAGGGAAGAUUGUUUUCUGACAUGAGCCUUGGAGAGGAGGGACUCAUAAAUGUGGGAAAUUUACCAUAUAUAGGAAAGGUGUCCAAAGGAGCUGGGAAAUAUGAAAAGCCUGCCUCAGUGGGUCUGAAUUUUCCUGGUUGUGUUUUGUCUCUGUGGGUCCUAUCUUUAGAUCACUGCAAAGACCAUCAAAAUGGCACCACUGUUGAUGUGGUAGCAGCUCCGUAUGGUUGCAGGCAAAGAGCUUAGGAAGUGACAUAGGUAUAGAGCAGCAGAGAAGCAAAGGCUAUAAAGUACACAUAGUUCAUCUUCUAAUAAUGUGUGAGUAAAAAGUGUCAAAAAUGUUAGACCUGCCUACAACUCACCUUUCUAUUAGUUAUGCUUUCCCUAUAAAAAUGGACUCAAUUAAAACAGCUAUGGGGGGCUGGAGAUAUAGCUCAGUUGGCAGAGUGCUUGCCUCACAUGCACAAGGCCCUGGGUUCAAUCCCCAGCACCACAAAAAAAGAACCGCCGCCCCCCUCAAACAAAACAAAACAAAAAACAACAACAACUAUGGAUGAUUGACAGUAAUAAAAACUGAAACUUAAAGGACACUUUUAUUGAGCACUAUUAAGGGAAGACCAGGGAAGCGCUUUCCUCACUACCUUUCACUACCUGUUAUUCUUGUUUCAUUUAAAGCUGGCUCCCCCACCCCAGGCUUGGCCAAAUAUUUCUUUUGCUCCCAAUCUUUAUACUUUCUGUCAAAAAGGUUUUUGAGCCAUUUGUAUAACUGCAGGCUUGGUAUUUCAGGUUUUAGGGCAAUGUGGCAGUACAUCUUUGCAGAUUUCUGUGGCAGGUCCCCCCUCCCACUCUCAUUGUGAUAUAAUAUAUAUAAUAAGGUGCACUGAUCUUAAGUACAUACCUGGAUGAAUUUUCACAUAUGCAUAAACCUAAGUAAUCAAGAUACAGAAUAUUCCCAGCAAUCUAGAAGUUUCUUUUGUCCUCUUCUCUAGUCAACGCCCCCAAAGCUAACCACUAUUCUGACUUCCAUCACCACUGGUUAGUUUUGUCUACUCAUAAGCUUCAUCUGAAUACAGUCACACAACCUGUGCUAUUUUGUGUCUUCUUUUGCUGAAUAUAAUGUCUGUUGACAUUCAUGCCGCUGUGUGUGUCAGUAGUUUUAUUUUCUUUACUGCA
rnacentral:lncRNA from 1 species